GCUUACGGCCAUACCUCUCUGGCUCCGCCUGAUCUCGUCUGAUCUCAGAAGCUAAGCAGAGUAGGGCCUGGUUAGUACUGGGAUGGAAGACCGCCUGAGAAAUCCCAGGUGCCGUAAGCU
ensembl:rRNA 5S_rRNA 5S ribosomal RNA